rnacentral:rRNA from 1 species
AGCAGCCGCGGUAAUUCCAGCUCCAAUAGCGUAUAUUAAAGUUGCUGCAGUUAAAAAGCUCGUAGUUGAAUUUCGGGAUCGAUAUAUCGGUCGUGCCUCGGUACGUACUGGUAUUUUCGGUUUCUACCUUCUGACGAACCUUGAUGUCAUUAAUUUGGUGUCUUGGGGAAUCAGGACUGUUACUUUGAAAAAUUAGAGUGUUUAAAGCAGGCUCACGCUUGAAUACAUUAGCAUGGAAUAAUGAAAUAGGACGUUUGAUUCUAUUUUGUUGGUUUCUAGGAUCGACGUAAUGAUUAAUAGGGAUAGUUGGGGGCAUUAGUAUUCAAUUGUCAGAGGUGAAAUUCUUGGAUUUAUUGAAGACUAACUACUGCGAAAGCAUUUGCCAAGGAUGUUUUCACUAAUCAAGAACGAAAGUUAGGGGAUCGAAGACGAUCAGAUACCGUCGUAGUC